rnacentral:lncRNA from 1 species
CCCUUCGCGCUUCUCCGCACCGGGAUCCCCAGUCCCUCAGGUUCCGAUAGACCCUCCUGUCAGGCCCAUUCUCCCGGCCGCCUCAGUUGCAGUGUUAAGAUCAACAGUGUUAAGAUUAAAGCUUUGUGAUGUGCUAGCCACUACGCUGAGGAUAUGCCGUGUAGCAAAAUUCCUCAGGACUCCUCACAGCUGCCCUGUAAGGAAGCGGCCAUGGCCGGGUUCUAGGGAUGCGAGGCCGAGGCUCGGGGCGCUGAGUAGCCUAGCGCGUCGCCGAGGAGAGCUGGCACGUGAACCCUUGUCGUCUGCCGUCAGAGGUGUUAUGUGGUGGCCCUCAUUCUCCACACCUGGAGCAGACUCUAGGAUCUGCAGUUACUGUAUGAUGAGCCCUUCUGAGUAUUUUGCUUGGCUUUGCACCUGGCGAGGUAACAUUGAGACUAGUUAAUCUCUACACUGGAAUCCAUCUGGAAGACCACUCAAUAACUCAUCAUUAGCCGGACCUGGUGGUACAAGCCUGGAGUCUCGGUUACCUGGAGGCUGAGGUGGGAAUAUCGCUUGAGACCAGGAGUUUGAGGCUGCAGUGAGCUGUGAUUGUACCACUGCACUCCAGCCUGGGUGACAGUGCAAGAAUUCAUCUCUUAAAAAAAAACAAACAACUCAAAAAACCUCAUCAUUGAGCACCUAUGAUGUGCCAGCAACUGUACUCAGUGUUGGAGACCCGAGGACAAACAAACCAGGAACGGGACCUUUGAGCAGUCACCAUCUGACAAGUGACUGGGAAAGAUGAAUAAUGCCCUUCACCAAGAUUCUUCUCUGAUCCACAAAUUCAAUUACUGAUUUAUUUGUUCACUGCUCUUAAACUUAAAUAUUUUUUAGUAGGUAAUAAAGAUAUACCAAUUUAAACACUCUUGACUUUUAACAAUUUCUUUUUAAGUACUGUAAUAUUCUUCUUUUCCUUUAAAAAAAAAAUACAAAAAGAAGGAAAAGGAAAAUCUAUUCAAAAUAAAGUAUUCCAGAUAUCUGAUAUUGCUGCAUUGCUGUAUCAUUCAUUAACAUUCACAAAAAAUAAAAUGAGUACCUUCCAUGUGUGUGCAGGCAUUGUUCUAGGCAAAGAACAAUUAAAUCAAACUUCUGUUAACAUUAAACCAAAACUUCUGUUCUCAUGGAACCUACCUACUAGCAGAUCCAAGCCAUGGUAGUUUGUUCAAGAACCUUCAGCUCUUUUCUGCUUUGUUGUCAAAGGCUUCUAAAAUUGGUUCCAAUCCCAACCACCACCAACAACAAUAUCACAAGAAGACACCUAGGCUAUUAUUCUUAACCUGUUUCCCGGUUUCGAUUUGUUAACCCCCUCUGGAUUAAGCAUUGUUGUCUUUGAUCUUGACAUGUGCCUCUAUGUGGAGAGUGUAUUUUUGCUCACCAAAUUUUUACUCAUUAAACUUUACUGGUGCUAUGCUUGCUAACUUAUUUCAGAUAAUUAGAGCUUUUGGAUGCUUUCUCUAGGACAAACUGUUCCUUUCUCCAUCCUCAGCCUUCCAUGCUGUUAAUGUACAAAAUCAGAUGAUUUAAACAUAAAUCAUCUUGAACUCUAGAAUGACCUGGUCCCCUUAGGGAAAAACCAUGGGAUUUAACACUACUCCUCAGUGAUGAUGGUAAGGCUAUAUGGGCAGUUGUUUAACCAUUAUCCCCAGGUGCCCUCACCCACAGCCAGCCUGCUCAAAGGACUAUUUCCCAUUCCAAUAAUAAUGACAGAGCUAGGAGGGAGGCCAUGACUAAUAAAGACGUAUAAGAUGUUACUGCAAAUCCUUUUUUCUAUCCAUACGAAUUAUAAACUAACUAAAAAAUAUUGACAAAUAUUAGCAAUUACAUUGAAAGAAGAAGGUGGUUGUCAAAAAUAAAAACCAUUGUUAUGUUUUAUAAAUGUUAUUGAAGUCCACAGGAAAUACAUUAAUUUGGUGGGUGUAAAAUUGGAAGAAUUUUGAAAAAUGUAUGCAGUGGUGUAACCACAAACACAAUCAUGAUAUUUCCAUCCCUCCAGAGUUUCCUUAUGUUCCUCCUCCCAAUCUGUUUCCUGUCAACUAAUUAUCUGCUUUCUAUCACUGUAAUAGUGCCUGUUCUAGGAAAUUAGAUGAAUGGAAUUUUCUAUUAUGUGGUCUUUUGAGUCAGACUUCUUUCACUAAUUAUACUGACUUUGAGAUUUAUCCAUGUUGUUGCAUGUAUCAGUAAUUCAUUCAUUUUCAUUGCUAAGUGGUAUUGUAUGAAAUACAGUUUAUUUAUCCAUUCCAAUAAAUGAACCCAAUUUGGGUUCAUUCCAAUUUUGAACUAUUAUAAAUAAAGUUGCUAU